GCCUUCGUAGCUCAGUGGUGAGAGCACCGCCCUGAUAAGGCGGGGGUCGGAAGUUCGAUUCUUCCCGAGGGCAC
rnacentral:tRNA from 1 species